UGCGUUAGAGGUGAAAUUCUUGGAUCGCAGCAAGAUGAACAAUUGCGAAAGCAUUUGCCAAGAAUGUUUUCAUUAAUCAAGAACGAAAGUUAGAGGUUCGAAGGCGAUCAGAUACCGCCCUAGUUCUAACGGUAAACUAUGCCAACCAGCGAUUCGCCGAAGUUCAUUUAAGACUCGGCGAGCAGCUUCCGGGAAACCAAAGUGUUCCGGUUCCGGGGGAAGUAUGGUUGCAAAGCUGAAACUUAAAGGAAUUGACGGAAGGGCACCACCAGGAGUGGAGCCUGCGGCUUAAUUUGACGCAACACGGGAAAACUCACCCGGCCCGGACACUGGAAGGAUUGACAGAUUGACAGCUCUUUCUUGAUUCAGUGGGUAGUGGUGCAUAGUUGCUCUACUGUUGCAUUGAAUUCAAAAUCAACGGCGUUUACAGCAAAUAUACUGUGGAUUUGCUCCAAAUGGUUCAUGCGUCGUUUCACAAACAUUCGGAAAUUAUUUUUGUCAGCACUGAAGGCGUGCACAACGCAAUCGACGAAGAUAUGGUCAGUAAUGUGUUGUAUCACGCGGAUGUUAUUGAAUUUCAUAUACCCGGUACGGAAAAUUUCGCAAAACUCUACACCCAUGCUAUAGGGCAAAUGCUCAGAGAUGCUGCGCUGAAAGAUGCCGUGGAAAGUUUUCUGUCUCGACUGACUGAACAAGAAAGAGAACUUUUGCGUAUGAUGAGCCUUCGUUGAUCACACACAUGCCCGAUUUUUUUUUAAUUCAAUUAAUAAUUGUGUGCACUUCUUGAUCAGUUUUUAUUUUUUUUUUCCCCCUACCCAAACAUUAUUGUAUAAAUUUCUUCUGUUAUUAUUCCAAGUUGAAAUUAGUCUGACAAUUUUUUUUUGUUUUUUUUUUUUUUUUUGGGAUGUGGGGAGUGGGGGUUAUUGUGCACUCUCGAAUAGUAGCUGAUACGCGUACACACACGCGCACACGUAAAUUUCAUCUGCUCUCUCUCUCUCUCUCUCUACACUCUCACACUCUCCGCUAUUGUCCUCCCGUUCGACUGUUGUUGUGGCAUUGAUUAUAUGAUGUUGUUGAAGAAAAUGACUUCAGCGGUCUUUCGGUGAUUUAUUGCAAGCAUUCUAGAUUGAUAUGCUUUAAGAAUAUCCAGUAUUAUUACCGAAGCCGGUGAACCGUUUCUGUAAUAGGUAAAAUUUAACUGGAGUGCCGAGAUUAGUGUCCGAGUUGUUUGAUUGCCUUUCUGAAUGAUGCUUUCUUUUGUAUUUUUCCUGAAACAUUUCUAACUCAGACUGAUGAUGAGGCGAUGAGUCGUGCAUCGCAAAGUGAAAAGCCUCCGAUUCCAUUACGCAUAUUCCAAAAAGAGUUUUGAGCGUGAGCUCGCUCGGAGCCGCUGUUGGUGCAGAUCUUGGUGGUAGUAGCAAAUAUUCAAGUGAGAACCUUGAAGACUGAAGUGGGGCAAGGUUCCAUGUGAACAGCAGUUGGACAUGGGUCAGUCGAUCCUAAGAAAACGGCGAAAGCUUGUUCGAAUUUGCGACAUGAAUUGUAAGACUGUGUGUUUAUUGUGUGUGUGCAGUUGUCGUAUGUUUUCGAAAGGGAAUCCGGUUGAUAUUCCGGAACCGAGUAACGGAGACAAAGAGUAGCGCUUUAAUCUCUCUGUGGGGUUGGCGUUCAACUCAAUCGCGCGGUAACGCAAGCGAACUCGGAAAAUGACCGUCGUGAGUUUCGAAAAGAGUUUUCUUUUCUUUUUAAGGGACGCAUUCCCUGGAACCGGGUUGUCCGGAGAUAGGGAUUCUGGUAUCCAUAAAACGCCGACUUUUUCACGGUGUUCGGAGCGCUCUCGUCGGUACGUGAAAAUCCGAGCGACGCCUGGUAAAUCUCGUACUUGGUCGUACUGAUAUCCGCAGCAGGUCUCCAAGGGGAAUAGCCUCUGGCCGAUAGAAUAAUGUAGGUAAGGGAAGUCGGCAAAACGGAUCCGUAACUUCGGAACAAGGAUUGGCUCUAAGGGCUGGGCCGAUCGGGCUGAGGUUUCAAGCGUGCAGUGUAUGCUUGGCUGAGUUGUGUUGAGGACUUGUUCACUUGCCGCCGUUUGUUCGGUUGGUCUAGUGUAUUCGAGUCUGAAGCAGAGCUGGCCGACAGACCGGCACGUGCAGAACCUGAGCUGCGCGGCUGUCCGUUUACGUGUACAGACCGUUUCGGUCGGCAUUCAACAGCCAACUUAGAACUGGCACGGACACAAGGAAUCUGACUGUAUAAUUAAAACAAAGCAUUGCGAUGGCCGAUGAUCGGUGAUGACGCAAUGUGAUCUCUGCCCAGUGCUCUGAAUGUCAAAGUGGAGGAAAUUCAAUCAAGCGCGGGUAAACGGCGGGAGUAACUAUGACUCUCUUAAGGUAGCCAAAUGCCUCGUCAUCUAAUUAGUGACGCGUAUGAAUGGAUCAACAAGAUUCCUUCUGUCCCUAUCUACUAUCUAGCGAAACCACAGCCAAGGGAACGGGCUUGGCGA
rnacentral:rRNA from 1 species